UUGCAGCAAACUAAAAAUGUUUAGAGAAAUGUUCAAUCAGAGAAGGAAUGCAAUAUUAUUAUUAUUAUUUUUUUUUUUUUGACUGAAUAUUUAAUAUAAAUCAUUGAAUUAAGGAUUGUUCACCACAGUCCUAAUAUUAUGUGCUAACAAAGUGAACGAGGUCAGUUUUGAUUUCAUGCAGACCUUAAAAGAAGUCUUUCCCGCCUUUAUCUAAUGAUGUCUAUGAAUAAGAGAGUAACACACUGACUAAUAACUCUGCAUGUUUAGUUUUAGCAGGAACAUGUGGUGUUGUUGUUUUUCUGCUGGUGGUUGUAGCUGCUGUUCUUGGUGUGAUUUACUAUCGCCGCUGGAGAUCCGGAAAUGCAGGCCUGGAGAAAAACAAGCCUGACCGUCUGUUGGAGGAUCAGAGGAAAGAUGACAGUGAUGUGUCUUGUGAGAAU